ACCUGGGUGGCUCAGUUGGUUGAGCAUCUGGCUUUGGCUCAGAUCAUGAUCUCACAGUUUGUGGGUUCGAGCCCCACAUCAGGCU
rnacentral:tRNA from 1 species